UACGGAGGGGGGCUAGCGUUGUUCGGAAUUACUGGGCGUAAAGCGCACGUAGGCGGCUUUGUAAGUUAGAGGUGAAAGCCCAGGGCUCAACCCUGGAACUGCCUUUAAGACUGCAAGGCUUGAAUCGCGGAGAGGUGAGUGGAAUUCCGAGUGUAGAGGUGAAAUUCGUAGAUAUUCGGAAGAACACCAGUGGCGAAGGCGACUCACUGGCCCGGUACUGACGCUGAGGUGCGAAAGCGUGGGGAGCAAACAGG
rnacentral:rRNA from 1 species